UUUCCGGGGCAGUGUGAGGUAUAGGCGCUCUCGGAAUGGGUCGCAGCCGCAGCCGCUCCCCGCGGAGGGAGCGUAGGCGGUCCCGGUCCACCUCUCGGGAGAGAGAACGCAGGCGCCGAGAAAGGUCGCGGUCCCGGGAAAGAGACAGGAGGCGGAGCCGCUCUCGAUCCCCGCACAGAAGACGUUCCAGGUCCCCAAGGCGACAUAGAUCCACAUCUCCUUCCCCUUCUCGACUGAAAGAAAGAAGAGAUGAAGAAAAGAAAGAAGCAAAAGAAACAAAGAGCAAAGAACGUCAGAUUACUGAGGAAGACUUGGAGGGCAAAACAGAGGAAGAAAUAGAAAUGAUGAAGUUAAUGGGAUUUGCUUCCUUUGACUCCACAAAAGGAAAAAAGGUGGAUGGCUCUGUAAAUGCCUAUGCCAUAAACGUGUCUCAGAAGAGGAAGUACAGGCAGUACAUGAAUCGAAAAGGUGGAUUCAACAGACCUUUGGAUUUCAUUGCAUGAGAAUUGAAAUGUUGAAGAAUGAUUUUUUUCCCCUCAUUGUGAUCAGAAGAGUGGAUUUUAUAUUUUAUAUUUCAUAUGCAUCAAAAUAGGAUCACAGUCCUUCCUCCUUGUAAACUGCUACAUAGUGUUUUGUAUAAUAUAUAAUAGGCUUUCCAGAAGGUAUUCAGCCAUAGAACAUGAAAAAUAGAGACAUUUAUUGAAGAAGAUACAACAUACAAGAAACCAUUGUGCACAGGACAGUGAUGCUUCAGUCUCCUUCACAGUAGCACCUUGGGACCUCUCACAGUUAUCCAAAUCACCAUCAUCACCUUGUCGUAUUUUCCUGAAUCUCAUUGAUGGUCUGAAAUCUCUUCCCUUACAAAAUUGAACAGUCUGCACCCUGGAGCUCCUUACAAAGGUGAUUUUAGUUUUGGGAAAAGACACAAGUCACAGGGCACCAAAUCUGGGCUGUAGGGGUGCUGAGUCACCUAGGUGAUUUGACGUUUAGCCAAAAAACUGCACGAGAUGUGAUGCAUGAGCAGGUAUGUUGUCAUAAUGAAGCUCUCAAUUACCAGUUGCCCAUAGCUGCAGCCUUCUAAAUCAUCCUCAUAGUUUCUGAGAAGGAAUGUUCAAGCUUAACACAAAAUUUGAUGCAGAUUUCUUGCUGUACUCGCUCAGUCAUUUUGAAUGCAACGACCACAGAGUACACAGGCUCACUCAACAGCAUCUACCACCCCCACUGACUAGUACAGUGAGGUCAUCAUUGUUCACACACAUGCAUUCCAGUCUACUCUCCUUGGCUGUCCGGUUACAUCGACGUCGUGCAAAACAUUCUCAUAUUAAUGAUGGCUGGACUUUUUACAGACAGACCUUUUUUCCACUGUUUCUUUAGCCAUUGUUCUGUUUUUAAAAUGACUAUAGAAUAACUAAUUUUUGCAAAGCAGUGUUCUUAGAGGUUUUUAAAAAUUAAUAUAUUAGAUAUCAUGAUAUUGGAGUAUCCAAAGUAGCCACAAAAAAAGGAGAAUGAUGUUAUUGAAGCAGGAAAUUCCAGUCCAGAUUUUUAAACUUGGAAGAAAAAAAAAUUAGUUCCUCAAAAAUUCAUUCUAAAAAUUUUAUUUUAUGUCAUAGUGGUUUGGAAGUAUCAAACUCUGUUACAAAUAAGAUGUUUUGCUUCCAGUUUUGGAAUGUUUCAGACAUUUAAGGACUAUAAUACACCAGUUUUCUUUUCCCUGCCACUCUGAGGUACUUACUGACUGAAGAAUUAGCUGUCAGAACUCCUAUUGCAUUUAAUAAACCUGCUCCUUACUCAGCAUUUACAUACUACCCUAUGCCCAACUGGAGUAUGUAAGCCUCUCAAAGGCAAGAGACUGAGUCUUAGCUUUCUACAAGAUACAGUAAAGAUAAUCUGAUGGGUUAUAUAGGUAUGUCUUCAUGUUUCCAUUUUCAACCUUUUUACUUCCUAAUUCUAUUAUUUGAUCAUUUUUUAAAAGAUUUCAUUUAUUUAUUUUUAGAGAAAGGGGAAGGGAGGGAGAAAGGGAGAGAAAUAUCGACAUGCAAGAUAAACGUCAAUUAGAUAACUCGCACACCCCUGGGGCCCUGACGGGGACUCCAGCAAGUGCCCUUUCAGUUUGUAGGACAAGGCCCAAUCCACUGAACCACAACAGUCAGGGCUUAGGUGAUCUUAAUGCCUGCUCGAAGAUAUAUAUGGUAAAUUAUUGUCAUCCCAUAUAUAUGCCAUGACACAAAACGAUUUAAAAUUCUGGUCAUAAAAUUUAGAUUCAAACAUUCUGGAAUUACUAAUUUUUAUUUUGGGUGUUGUGCCCAUCGGUCAAUGCUUAUGUAAUGCCUUUGAGGUUCUAGAUGUUGGGGGUUAGCACUUCUACUUUGUUUUAGGAUUUUCAGUUUUUUUCAAAACUUGUAUCUUCAGAUUAGAUUUAACUAGUCAUUGUGUGCAUUUGUGUAAAAUAUUUUGUAGAAAAACAAAACCUUUGUUUUACACUUACUGCUUGAUUCCAGUAGAUGGCACCAAAUACCCUUUAAAGUUCUUGAUGAUGCAAAUUCCUAGUUGCUAUUGUUCCACCACCACCACCAGGGAACAGUAACGGUCCAUUCUUUCAUCUAAUUCUCUGAUUGUUACAUAAUUUUGUAUUUUUUUGGGUAGAGUGUAAGACCUGUUAGUAUUUAAAUUAUUAAGUUGCUUUUUUUACUCAGAUUUCAACAUUUUUCUCCUUUUUAAAAUUUUUUAUAAGUGAUUUUCAACUGGUGAUUCUAGGGGAAGGAUUGUGAUUCUGAAAUGGGACUAAGUGAAAAGAGUUGAGGGUAAGAGAAAAAGAGUAACGAAAUUCUGAAUGAUCAUAAUAAAAGUGAAGGGAAAAUAUAACAGUAUACAAUAUCAAAAAUUAAGGUAAUAAAAGUGUUUUUA